rnacentral:rRNA from 1 species
ACAGCAGUCGCCGCAGUAAUACGUAGGUCCCGAGCGUUGUCCGGAUUUAUUGGGCGUAAAGCGAGCGCAGGCGGUUAGAUAAGUCUGAAGUUAAAGGCUGUGGCUUAACCAUAGUACGCUUUGGAAACUGUUUAACUUGAGUGCAAGAGGGGAGAGUAGAAUUCCAUGUGUAGCGGUGAAAUGCGUAGAUAUAUGGAGGAACACCGGUGGCGAAAGCGGCUCUCUGGCUUGUAACUGACGCUGAGGCUCGAAAGCGUGGGGAGCAAACAGGAUUAGAUACCCCCGUAGUCCCUGUCUCUUAUACA